AUUUCAUGGGCCUGCCAAGAAGUUUUAGGGAGAAUCCACAGUACCCUACAAAUGCACUGCUGGUCAGUUUCAGGCUUGCUAUCACCACAGAGGGCAUCUGAUACAUUGUCUCAACCUCAUCUGCACCCGUGAGAGACCAGACCGAAGUGAGAACACUGACCCAUGUUGGACUUCUCUUUGUCAUGGUUUUUGCCUUUUGCAGAGGGCCCCAUCAAGGCCCAGGCUGAAGAGAGACAGUGAGGGCUUCCUGGAUCUGGCUCAACAUCUUCCACACUAAACUCUUCCCUGUUCACAGAAGACCAUCAUAAAAAUGCAUUGUGU
rnacentral:lncRNA from 1 species